GCUUUUAAAGGAUAACAGUCUUCCAUCGGCUUUAGGAGCCGAGCAUCUU
rnacentral:tRNA from 1 species